rnacentral:rRNA from 1 species
CCCUUAGAUGUUCUGGGCCGCACGCGCGCUACACUGAUGCAUUCAACGAGCCUAUCCUUGACCGACAGGUCCGGGUAAUCUUUGAAUCUGCAUCGUGACGGGGAUAGAUUAUUGCAAUUAUUAAUCUUCAACGAGGAAUGCCUAGUAAGCGCAAGUCAUCAACUUGCGUUGAUUACGUCCCUGCCCUUUGUACACACCGCCCGUCGCUACUGCCAACUGAGAUGGGUCCUGAAUUGUUAGGAACGCCCGUCAAGGGGCCUACCCGGUCCCUAGUGCGGUGACGAGAAUAACUGUAAAUGGCAUAUCUUGUAGGGAGUAAAAGUCGUAACA